GUAGCUGGGUGAUUAGACAGGGUGUGAUUGGUAGCUGGGAGGUUAGACAGGGAGUGAUUGGUAGCUGGGUGAUUAGACAGGGUGUGAUUGGUAGCUGGGAGGUUAGACAGGAUGUCAUUGGUAGCUGGGAGGUUAGACAGGGUGUGACAUCUCUGGUAACUGGGAGGUUAGACAGGGUGUGAUUGGUAGCUGGGACGUUAGACAGGGUGUGAUUGGUAGCUGGGACGUUAGACAGGGUGUGAUUGGUAGCUGGGAGGUUAGACAGGGUGUGAUUGGUAGCUGGGACGUUAGACAGGGUGUGAUUGGUAGCUGGGACGUUAGACAGGGUGUGAUUGGUAGCUGGGAGGUUAGACAGGGUGUGAUUGGUAG
ensembl:lncRNA